GAUGAACGCUAGCGGCAGGCCUAAUACAUGCAAGUCGAGGGGUAGAGCUAGCUUGCUAGCUUGAGACCGGCGCACGGGUGCGUAACGCGUAUGCAACCUACCCUUUUCUGGGGGAUAGCCCGGAGAAAUCCGGAUUAAUACCGCAUAAGACCACGAUACGGCAUCGUGAUGUGGUCAAACAUUUAUGGGAGAAGGAUGGGCAUGCGUGCCAUUAGCUAGUUGGCGGGGUAACGGCCCACCAAGGCGACGAUGGGUAGGGGAUCUGAGAGGAUGGCCCCCCAAACUGGUAGAGAGACACGGAACAGACUCCUACGCGAGGCAGCAGUAAGGAAUAUGGGUCAAGGGGGGCAACCCUGAACCAGCCAUGCCGUGUGCAGGACGACGGCCCUCCGGGUUGUAAACUGCUUUUGUACGGGAAUAAACCCCGCUACGUGUAGCGGGCUGAAUGUACCGUAAAAAUAAGGAUCGGCUAACUCCGUGCUAGCAGCAGCCGCCG
rnacentral:rRNA from 1 species